UUGACCUCAAAUCAGGUAGGACUACCCGCUGAACUUAAGCAUAUCAAUAAGCGGAGGAAAAGAAACUAACAAGGAUUCCCCUAGUAACUGCGAGUGAAGCGGGAAAAGCUCAAAUUUAAAAUCUGGCAGUCUUUGGCUGUCCGAGUUGUAAUCUAGAGAAGUGUUGCCCACACUGGACCGUGUACAAGUCUUCUGGAAUGAAGCGUCAUAGAGGGUGAGAAUCCCGUCUUUGACAUGGACUCCCAGUGUAUUUGUGGCGUGCUCUCAAAGAGUCGAGUUGUUUGGGAAUGCAGCUCUAAAUGGGUGGUAACCUCCAUCUAAAGCUAAAUAUUGGCGAGAGACCGAUAGUGAACAAGUACCGUGAGGGAAAGAUGAAAAGAACUUUGGAAAGAGAGUUAAACAGUACGUGAAAUUGUUGAAAGGGAAACGCUUGAAGUCAGUCACAUUGGCCAGGGAUCAACCCAGCUCUUUUGUUGGGUGUACUUCCUGGUUUGAUGGGCCAAUGUCAGUUUUGACUGCUAGAGAAGGGCAGAGGGAAUGUGGCACCUUCCGGGGUGUGUUUAUAGCCUUUUGUCAUAUAUAGCAGUUGGGACUGAGGAAUGCAGCGCGCCUACAAGGCCGGGUUUCGACCACGUUCGCGCUUUGGAUGUUGGCAAUAAUGGCUUUAAUCGACCCGUCUUGAAACACGGACCAAGGAGUCUAACAUAUCUGCGAGUGUUUGGGUGGAAAACCCGAGCGCACAAUGAAAGUGAAAGUUGAGAUCCUUGUCAUGAGGAGCAUCGACG
rnacentral:rRNA from 1 species